AUUGAAGCCACUUUGCACCGACUAUUCAUACAACCUUCGCACCUAAGGAUAAAUUCCGCGUCCUUUACCCACUAGUGCAUUAGCAACAAACGAAGACAAAUAAGUACCCUCUAGGCAAGGAUGUCGCUGGUGCCUAUAACGGAAUGGCCAUGUCGCGUGUGUCUGCGUCGUUCAUCAUCGCGUAUGAUCUGUGACCACGAGUAAUCCAUUUGUCGCACGUGAAACCGCACCUGGCAGCGACAUUGCGUAGAAAUGGUUGAGAAAGGAAUGGAUUGGAGAAGAAAUAAAGAAAAUGGAACGAGGUGUUUUUGUAGGAGAAACAUCAAUGAUUUACCCUGUCGUGGCCGGUUUACGCUUCAGAAACUAAGAGUUGUGAACUAGGUCAUGCAAAUUGCUACAAGCAAUCAUAGUACUAUGAAUGGCACCUUGCAAUAGAAAUAAUAAAUUAGAUUUUGUUCUUAAAAAUGCCUA